CCAAUGCUUUGUAUGUCAAAGUGAAGAAAUUCAACCAAGUGUGGGUAAACAGUAGGAGUAACUAUGAAUCUCUUAAGGUAACCAAAUGCCUAGUCAUAUAAUUAGUGAUGUGCAUGAAUGGAUUAAUGAGAUUCCCACUGUCCCUAGCUACUAUCUAGACAAACCACAACCAAGGGAACAAACUUGGAAGAAUUAGUGGGGAAAGAAGACAUUGUUGAGAUUGACUCUAGUCCGACAUUGUGAAUGACUUGAGAGGUGUAUAAUAAGUUGGAGUCCUUUUCAGCACAAGUGAAAUACCACUAAUUUUAGCGUUAUUUUAGUUAUUUCGUGGGGAAAAGACGAGGCAUUGCACAUAUGUUAAAAGAUAAUGCACAUUUCCUAAAAGUGUUGUCAUUGAUGGAAUUGGUCAAGAGCUCAUUCUUCACACACUUGAUGGAAAUGAGUUUAGGAAACCAAAUAGGAUCAUUUCUUUUAAGGAUGAUGAAAUUUCCUACAACACCUAUGUUUUUAGCCAACACCCUCGU
rnacentral:ncRNA from 1 species